UAAAUCAAACACUUUUAGUCCUCCGACUUUGGUGGCACUGCCACUUUUAGCCCUCAACUUUUAAAUCAACCACUUUUAGUCCUCUUA